GAAAGUAAGCAAGGGCAGACGGUGGAUGCCUUGGCUCUCGGAGGCGAUGAAGGACGUGAUAAGCUGCGAUAAGCUUCGGGUAGGUGCAAAUAACCUUUGAUCCCAAGAUUUCCGAAUGGGGCAACCCGGCUGGUAGAAGGCCAGUCAUUCCGUAAGGAAGGCGAACGUGGGGAACUGAAACAUCUAAGUACCCAUAGGAGAAGAAAACAAAAGUGAUUCCGCAAGUAGUGGCGAGCGAACGCGGAACAGCCCAAACCGAUGAUGUUUAGGCAUUGUCGGGGUAGUAGGACCACGUUGUGGCAAGAGAUUAAGGAAGUAGAACGUUUUGGAACAAACGGCCGUAGACGGUGAAAGCCCAGUAUACGACUCUUUAACGAAGCCUAGUGGAAUCCUGAGUAGCGCGGAGCACGAGAAAUUCUGUGUGAAUCAGCGGGGCCCAUCCCGUAAGGCUAAAUACUCCCGAGAGACCGAUAGCGAACCAGUACUGUGAAGGAAAGGUGAAAAGCACCUCGAACAGAGGAGUGAAAUAGUCCCUGAAACCGUCUGCCUACAAGCGGUCGGAGCAACGUAAGUUGUGACGGCGUGCCUUUUGCAUAAUGAACCUACGAGUUACUUUCUCCGGCAAGGUUAAGGGCUUCAGGCCCGGAGCCGAAGCGAAAGCGAGUCUUAAUAGGGCGUGAUAGUCGGAGUGAGUAGACGCGAAACCAAGUGAUCUACCCUUGGUCAGGAUGAAGGUUGGGUAACACCAACUGGAGGUCCGAAUGGGUAUACGUUGAAAAGUGUUCCAAUGAACUGAGGGUAGGGGUGAAAGGCUAAUCAAACUUGGAGAUAGCUCGUACUCCCCGAAAUGCAUUUAGGUGCAGCCUUUAUUUAGUAUAGCAUGAGGUAGAGCGACUGAUUGGAUGCGAGGGCUUCACCGCCUAUCAAGUCCAGAUAAACUCCGAAUGCGUGCUAUAUAUUGAUAAGGAGUGAGGGCGCGGGUGCUAAGGUCCGCGUCCGAGAGGAGAAGAAUCCAGACCAUCAGCUAAGGUCCCCAAAUAACAGUUAAGUUGAACUAACGAAGUCGGACUGCAGAGACAGCUAGGAUGUUGGCUUGGAAGCAGCCAUUCAUUUAAAGAGUGCGUAACAGCUCACUAGUCGAGGAGUCCGGCGUGGAUAAUACUCGGGCAUAAACUGUUUACCGAAGCUAUGGAUGUAGAAAUACAUGGUAGGGGAGCAUUCCAACGGCGUCGAAGGUGAAGGAUGACCUUUGCUGGAGCUUUUGGAAACGCAAAUGUAGGUAUAAGUAACGAUAAAGGAGGUGAGAAACCUCCUCGCCGAAAGACUAAGGUUUCCUGAUCAACGUUAAUCGGAUCAGGGUAAGUCGGGACCUAAGGUUAAGCCGAACGGCGAUACCGAUGGAAGAAUGGUUUAAUAUUCCCAUACUACUUUAUGGAGCGAUGUGGAGACGGAGAAGUGAAAGUCCUGCCAUCUGACGGAAUAGGUGGUUGAAGAGUGUAGAUGUAGAUUCCUGUAGGCAAAUCCGCAGGGAGAGUCGACCUUGAUAGUAUGCCGCGUGCUUGCACAAGGCAAAAUGGACGUAAUCAGGCUCCCAAGAAAAUCCGCUAAGCAUAUUCAUAAAGUACCCGUACCGUAAACGGACACACGUAGUUGGGUUGAAAAUACUGAGGCGCUCGAGUGAUUCACGGUUAAGGAACUAGGCAAAUUGACCCUGUAACUUCGGGAUAAAGGGUCCCUACUGAGAGGUAGGGCGCAGAGAAUAGGUCCAGGCAACUGUUUAACAAAAACACAUGGCUGUGCGAAAUAGAAAUAUGAAGUAUACAGCCUGACACCUGCCCGGUGCUGGAAGGUUAAGAGGAGAGCUCAUCGCAAGAGAAGGCUUGAAUUGAAGCCCCAGUAAACGGCGGCCGUAACUAUAACGGUCCUAAGGUAGCGAAAUUCCUUGUCGGGUAAGUUCCGACCUGCACGAAUGGUGUAAUGAUCUGGACACUGUCUCAACCGUGAGCU
rnacentral:rRNA from 1 species